CCUACGGGAGGCAGCAGUGGGGAAUCUUACGCAAUGGGCGAAAGCUGAACGCAGCCAUGCCGCGUGAAUGAUGAAGGUCUUAGGAUUGUAAAAUUCUUUCACCGGGGAAGAUAAUGACGGUACCCGGAGAAGAAGCCCCGGCUAACUUCGUGCCAGCAGCCGCGGUAAUACGAAGGGGGCUAGCGUUGCUCGGAAUUACUGGGCGUAAAGGGCGCGUAGGCGGACAGUUUAGUCAGAGGUAAAAGCCCAGAGCUCAACCUUGGAACUGCCUUUGAUACUGGCUGUCUUGAGUUCGGGAGAGGUGAGUGGAAUGCCGAGUGUAGAGGUGAAAUUCGUAGAUAUUCCGCGGAACACCAGUGGCGAAGGCGACUCACUGGCCCGAUACUGACGCUGAGGCGCGGAAAGCGUGGGGAGCAAACAGGAUUAGAUACCCUGGUAGUCCACGCUGUAAAGCGAUGAGUGCUAGUUGUCGGCAUGCAUGCAUGUCGGUGACGCAGCUAACGCAUUAAGCACUCCGCCUGGGGAGUACGGUCGCAAGAUUAAAACUCAAAGGAAUUGACGGGG
rnacentral:rRNA from 1 species